rnacentral:rRNA from 1 species
ACAUGCAAGUCGAACGGACGAGGAGGAGCUUGCUUCUCCAAGUCAGUGGCGGACGGGUGAGUAACGCGUGAGUAACCUGCCCUUCAGAGGGGGAUAACGUCUGGAAACGGACGCUAAUACCGCAUGACAUAUUUCCAUCGCAUGGUGGAGAUAUCAAAGGAGCAAUCCGCUGAAGGAUGGACUCGCGUCCGAUUAGAUAGUUGGCGGGGUGACGGCCCACCAAGUCGACGAUCGGUAGCCGGACUGAGAGGUUGAACGGCCACAUUGGGACUGAGACACGGCCCAGACUCCUACGGGAGGCAGCAGUGGGGGAUAUUGCACAAUGGGCGAAAGCCUGAUGCAGCAACGCCGCGUGAGGGAAGACGGUUUUCGGAUUGUAAACCUCUGUUCUAAGUGACGAACAAAUGACGGUAGCUUAGGAGAAAGCCCCGGCUAACUACGUGCCAGCAGCCGCGGUAAUACGUAGGGGGCAAGCGUUGUCCGGAAUUACUGGGUGUAAAGGGAGCGCAGGCGGAGAAGCAAGUCAGUGGUGAAAACGAUGGGCUUAACUCAUCGACUGCCAUUGAAACUGUUUCCCUUGAGUGAAGUAGAGGCAGGCGGAAUUCCGAGUGUAGCGGUGAAAUGCGUAGAUAUUCGGAGGAAC